rnacentral:rRNA from 1 species
GACGAACGCUGGCGGCGUGCUUAACACAUGCAAGUCGAACGGAAAGGCCCUGCUUUUGUGGUGUGCUCGAGUGGCGAACGGGUGAGUAACACGAGAGUAACCUGCCCUUGACUUUGGGAUAACUUCAGGAAACUGGGGCUAAUACCGGAUAGGAGCUCCUGCUGCAUGGUGGGGGUUGGAAAGUUUCGGCGGUUGGGGUUGGACGCGCGGCUUAUCAGCUUGUUGGUGGGGUAGUGGCUUACCAAGGCUUUGACGGGUAGCCGGCCUGAGAGGGUGACCGGCCACAUUGGGACUGAGGUACGGCCCAGACUCCUACGGGAGGCAGCAGUGGGGAAUAUUGCACAAUGGGCGGAAGCAUGAUGCAGCAACUCCGCGUGCGGGAUGACGGCCUUCGGGUUGUAAACCGCUUUCGGCUGUGACGAAGCGGGAGUGACGGUAAUGGGUAAAGAAGCACCGGCUAACUACGUG